AAAAAAAAAAAACUUUGAGCCUUUGAGAAUUGUAUCAUCGAAGCCUGGUCGGUCUCAAUUAUCUAGGCUACGGUGCAUGAACAAAAAACCUAAUUAAGCCACACAAAAAAUGUUAACUGAAAUGAUAUUAUUGAGUUCAUGUCCUUCGUGUGUGCCAGUAUGCGAUAUGUGUGUGUGUGUGUGUAUUCACAAUCACUAUCGUCGUCAAGGACGUACGUUGGAAUGAAUGAAGGUGGAUGUGAACAUUGCAAGAAACUCUCAAUUAAAAGGCACAAAAUGACUGAAUGAUUGAAUAAGUAAGAAGCUCUCAAUUAGGAGUCAUUAAGAUUCCUUUGAAUCGUUAUUAUAUAUAUAAAACAAGUAGACUCAUUUGAAUCGUUAUUAUAUAUAAAACAAGUGUAAUCAUAAACCAAGUCUCGUGAAUGCAUACUUUUGUAGGCUUAAAAAAUUGAAAAGGCGAGACACUUUUUGAGUUUCAUUAACAAUUUAAUUUUGUAAUUCGAAUAAUACUGUCUUGCUAUAUAUUUUGUACAUGCUAUGUUCCAGGAGUAUCACACAAUAAAACAUAUUAUGUCUAAUAAACAUCCAAAAUUAAAAAGAAUUUGAGAUCAACUUAGAUAACAAACAAUAUAUUAAGGGUAGUGUUAUCACACUUAUUUUUACUCCUCACAUACCCCUCUCAAUUUUCGAUAUCAAAUUGAAUGAAUUAAAGAAGAUUAAUGACAAAAUUGAUAAGGGUGUUUGGGAGGUAAAAAUAGGCGUGCGAAUAACACUAUCCUAUAUUAAACAGUCUAAUAAGAGCACUGUUUAUAUAUAAAACAAUAAAUUUAUUGUUAUUCUUGGCCAAGAAUAGUAAACCAUGUAACUUAAUGGCAUAUUUACUUACAAGAAAUGAAAUUCGAAAGAAUGAGUAUCAUUCUCAGUCAUGUAUUCAGUAGUUAACAACCAGAUGAAUGAAGAAAUAGGUGGCCCCAUAAGUUUUGGGUGUGAUAGAUAUUAAAAAUGAAGGUAUUCCAUUAAUAUAGGGAAUUGCUUAUCUUUCCUUCUCAUACUAAUUUCUUUUUAUAUAAAAAAACAAAAAAAAAAAAAAAAAAAAAAAAAAAAACAUAAGUAAACACGCUACUAUCAGAAAUUACUAUUUACCCGAUAAAAGGUAAUUCGUCGAGCAAAUAUAGCUCACACCAUUAUCGAGCGAGCACGAAAGUCAACAGUGACUUACGAUAUGGGUGCCUUCAUCCGUACGAAAUGCCCCAUGGUCGCCCUUCACGGAAGAUGCUUACCCUUCCCUAGGUGCAUUAGGUGCAUAGCAGAUGAUGAGAUAGAUUUCAGUGUGUGGAGUUUCGUUAAUUAAUUAGUUCUUUUACUUUUACUUAUUUAAUGUACUUUUUAAUCUAAUACACUUGUUUCUUUUGUCUAUUUCGGACCAACUUCUCCAUCAACAUGAAGCACUUGGAUACAAAUGAGUACAUACAUUAGGUGUGGGUUGAGCGGUGUAAGUAGUGGAAGUUAUUACAAGACUUGUGCAUCUCCAGAUGGACUCUUACAAAUCGACCCCCAUAAUCUAAGGAGAGGAUUGGGCAGUGGGAGUGGUUGUGCAGUCAUUUUUAGAGCCCGACAUUUUUGCAAAUAAGGCUAAUCGGGAAGCAAAGCUGCACCAUAAUCAAUCUGGUUCUUAGCCGUUCAUUUUUCAGGUUGAGGAACAUCGUGAUAAGAGUUUGCUUUUCCCGGAAGUCGAGGCUUGGGAGAUACGCAUGCCAAAUAUGGAAACAACAUUCAUCUUCUAUGUUGCAGAAGAAGGACGAGUAUAUCACCCAACAAUAACCGGACACGUCAAUGGAGGAGUUGACACCUGAUCUAGAGCUAUCUCUACAAUUGCAAAUGGACGGGUUGGCCGACUAAAAGCAAAGAACUUCCCAGCCUAGGAGCGCGUCGGAUUCGAGACCUCGGUGAUCUUCUUCAUCUAGCUGUUUGACUAUAAGCGGGACGUCUUCCAGACUAUAGCAGUUGGAGAUGGAGUUAGUGGUCCUACGCCAGCGAGACGAAGAAGUUAGAGAAGAUGCACGCUAGCGAGAGGAGGGUAUUAUGCGGUACAUUGUUGGGAUAGACCAAUCAAUGUCAGCCUGAUCUUCUGAACGUUCAGCGACCAUCCAACCAGCCACCUCAGCAGUCACCUAGUAGUUGUACUAAGUUUAGUAUUUUUACGUACAAUUGUUAUAAAUAUUUUAUUUUAAUAUAAUUAAAUAAAAUUCUUUAAUAUUGUGAUUUA